rnacentral:rRNA from 1 species
UACGUAGGCAGCAAGCGUUGUUCGGAAUUACUGGGCGUAAAGGGUGCGUAGGUGGCGCUGUAAGUCGGGUGUGAAAUUUCGGAGCUUAACUCCGAAACUGCAUUCGAUACUGCGGUGCUUGAGGACUGGAGAGGAGACUGGAAUUCAUGGUGUAGCAGUGAAAUGCGUAGAGAUCAUGAGGAAGACCAGUGGCGAAGGCGGGUCUCUGGACAGUUCCUGACACUGAGGCACGAAGGCCAGGGGAGCAAACGGG